rnacentral:rRNA from 1 species
GAUGAACGCUAGCUACAGGCUUAACACAUGCAAGUCGAGGGGCAGCAUUUUAGUUUGCUUGCAAACUAAAGAUGGCGACCGGCGCACGGGUGAGUAACACGUAUCCAACCUGCCGAUAACUCGGGGAUAGCCUUUCGAAAGAAAGAUUAAUAUCCGAUAGUAUAUUAAAACCGCAUGGUUUUACUAUUAAAGAAUUUCGGUUAUCGAUGGGGAUGCGUUCCAUUAGUUUGUUGGCGGGGUAACGGCCCACCAAGACUACGAUGGAUAGGGGUUCUGAGAGGAAGGUCCCCCACAUUGGAACUGAGACACGGUCCAAACUCCUACGGGAGGCAGCAGUGAGGAAUAUUGGUCAAUGGACGAGAGUCUGAACCAGCCAAGUAGCGUGAAGGAUGACUGCCCUAUGGGUUGUAAACUUCUUUUAUAUGGGAAUAAAGUAUUCCACGUGUGGGAUUUUGUAUGUACCAUAUGAAUAAGGAUCGGCUAACUCCGUG